GACGAACGCUGGCGGCGUGCUUAACACAUGCAAGUCGAACGGAAAGGCCCUGCUUUUGUGGGGUGCUCGAGUGGCGAACGGGUGAGUAACACGUGAGUAACCUGCCCUUGACUUUGGGAUAACUUCAGGAAACUGGGGCUAAUACCGGAUAGGAGCUCCUGCUGCAUGGUGGGGGUUGGAAAGUUUCGGCGGUUGGGGAUGGACUCGCGGCUUAUCAGCUUGUUGGUGGGGUAGUGGCUUACCAAGGCUUUGACGGGUAGUCGGCCUGAGAGGGUGACCGGCCACAUUGGAACUGAGAUACGGCCCAGACGCCUACGGGAGGCAGCAGUGGGGAAGAUUGCACGAUGGGCGGAAGCCUGAUGCAGCAACGCCGCGUGCGGGAUGACGGCCUUCGGGUUGUAAACCGCUUUCGCCUGUGACGAAGCGUGAGUGACGGUAAUGGAUAAAGAAGCACCGGCUAACUACGUG
rnacentral:rRNA from 1 species